CUAAGGAUGGUUCUUCAGAAGCUUGCUUCUAUCGAACCGUUUUAGAAACAUCAGUGGCCAACGGUCGUCAGGAUCGUUGAGCUGCAUUGGCGGGAUUUCGCCGUCUUCGUUUCUCUUUCUUCGCGGACGAACACGCGCUGGGGCUGCAACCUUGCAGAAUCCCUGGUCCUUGACUGGAUAUGCGUUAGGGGCUUGUAGCUCAGUUGGUUAGAGCGCGCGCUUGAUAAGCGUGAGGUCGGAAGUUCAAGUCUUCCCAGGCCCACCACACUCAUCGAGUGAGCAUUCGUCUUCUGGUUACGGGGCCAUAGCUCAGCUGGGAGAGCGCGUGCUUUGCAAGCAUGAGGUCGUCGGUUCGAUCCCGUCUGGCUCCACCAGAUGGUUUGAUCACCGACUACUCAUACCGUCGUCCGCGAAACAUCACUUCGCACUUACUAGUCCGGAUGGACAGUAAGCUGCGUGAUUUCUGACAUCGUAAAGAGGAGAUCGAUCCGAGUUGGAUCGGGCAACAAGUAAUUGUUGUGCGAUACUUCAUUAUCUCCGGAUCAUUUCGGCGCUCGUGCGUCUUUUGGCGUAGCUCACAAGGCUGCAUUGAAAGACAAGCGAGUUGUAAAUGAUCCUUUUAGCGAAGCUUGACCGCCUCGCUAUCGGAACGAUCUUACGAAGCAAGCUGGUCUUUCUAAUCAUUGUCCGGCUGCAGAUAGCGUUCAUCGAGGGCGCGUGCCGCAAGGCAGUUCUGCAGACAACAUUCUGCCGAGUGUGUGGACAUUGAUAAUGAGAGC
rnacentral:tRNA from 26 species